rnacentral:rRNA from 1 species
GUAGUUGACGUCCGUGCACGAGACGACGCUGGCGGCGUGCUUAACACAUGCAAGUCGAACGGAGUGCCUCGGAAAGAGAUUUCGGUCAAUGGAAGAGGUUACUUAGUGGCGGACGGGUGAGUAACGCGUGAGGAACCUGCCUUUCAGAGGGGGACAACAGCUGGAAACGGCUGCUAAUACCGCAUAACAUAUAGGUAUCGCAUGGUGCCUAUAUCAAAGAUUUAUCGCUGAAAGAUGGCCUCGCGUCUGAUUAGCUAGUUGGUAGGGUAACGGCCUACCAAGGCGACGAUCAGUAGCCGGACUGAGAGGUUGGCCGGCCACAUUGGGACUGAGAUACGGCCCAGACUCCUACGGGAGGCAGCAGUGGGGAAUAUUGGGCAAUGGGCGCAAGCCUGACCCAGCAACGCCGCGUGAAGGAAGAAGGCUUUCGGGUUGUAAACUUCUUUUAAGAGGGAAGAGUAGAAGACGGUACCUCUUGAAUAAGCCACGGCUAACUACGUA